UACAGCAUGCAUUAUAUGCUCGCUAAAUAUUUAUGAAAUGAAUAAAUUGAUGAUCCAAGUAGAGAAUGACCUGUGAAACAGAAUUCCAAGAAUUUAGCUCUGCACUAAAAUGCUUUGAGCACUGAAGUGGGCUGAAUGGCAGUCCCAGAAGGUAUGCCCAUGUAUAACCCAUGAAACUUGUGGAUAUUACCUUAUGUGGCAAAAGAUAUAAAGUUUAGGAUCUCAAGAGAAGGAGUGUAUCCUGAAUUAUCUGAGUGCAAUCGUUUGUAUCCUCAUAAGAGAGAAUCAGAGGGAGUUGUGUGACAUGCACACAGAGCAGGCAGUGUGAAGACAGAACAGAGAGAAAUGUAGCCACAAACCAGAAGCUGGAAGAGACAAGAGAUGGACUCUCCUCUAGAGCCUCCAUAGGACUAAUACAGCCCUACCGACACCUUGGUUUUGGACUUCAGACCUACAGAACUGUGAAGAAAUUAAUUCCUGUUGUUUUAAGCCACCUACUUUGGGACAGUUUGUUAUGGUAUACACAAGUAACUAAUGUAAGCACCUUAAACACUGCAUGCAAAAGUCAUUUUUAAAGUGGAAUAUCCCUAUUCCUAUUAUAAUUACUCAUGUUGCUAUAGGAGGGAUCUUGAUCUAUUUGGAAAAGAAUGAGAUUCUGCCACACACUAACAAUUAUUUUGGAAAAGUUACUCCUUUCAAUUUCCCUAUCUGUAAAAUUGGGAAAAUGACACUUCCCUACUUAACCCCACAUGACUUGUACUGAGACUCAAAUGAGAAAAGUAUAUUGUAUUCAGUAAAUAUUUAUUGAUGGCUAUCAUAUGCCAGGAACUAUUCCAAGCAGUGUAUAUAAGGGAUGUAACAGUGAACAUGACAGACAAGUUACCUGCUGUCAUUGAGCUUACAUCCUAAUGCAAUAAGCAGAUAAUAUAUAAGAAAGAAUGCAAAAAAUUAUUUCAGAUAGUGAUAAGAACUAUGUAAAAAAAUAAGCAGAGUAAUGUGGUAACAGUGCCUAGAAGAGGAGACAUUACAUUGGGUGAUCAAGGAAGUCUUUUCUAAAAAGCUUAUUCAGCUGAGACCUAAAUUUUGAAAAAGACCAGCCAUGUGAAAAACUGGAAUAAGAAAUUUUGAGACAGUGGUAUUUGAAAAACAAGUAGCCAUAUCCUUUGUAUGUUUGAGGACUAGAAAGCUUUGCAUGAACUGAAUGUGUUUGAAGAAUAGGGGAAAAAAAGCCAGUGUGACUGAAGCAGAGAGGUCAGACAAGGUCAGAAUGAUGGUCAAGGGCUGGAUCAUGUAAGGCUUUGCAGACCACAAUGAGAAGUUUGGAUUUUAUUGUGGAUGUAAUGUACAUCCAUGAUCAAGGGAUCAUGAGUGUGGUAUUAUCUGAUUGACAUUUUUAAAAAGAUGGUAUACUUGUGGGUAGAGAAUGUAACGGAAAGCAAGAGAUGAAGUUGAGAGACCUGUUAGGAGGCUAUUGCAGGAAUUCAGACUAGAGAUAAUGGUUAGAUUCAAGGGAAAGCCAUGUAGAUCAAGAGAAGUGGACCAACUUAAGAUAUAUUUUGGACAUAGAACCAACAGAACUUUUGAUGAAUUGGAUAUGGGAGAUGAGAGACAGAGGAAUUAAUUAUGAUUCGCAGGUUUCUGGCCUUAGCAACUGGCAGAUGUUGAUCAAUGGAGGAAAACCUGUUCUGAACAUGUUAAAUUUGAAAUGCCUAUUAUAUAUAUCCAUGGGGAAAUUUCAGUAGCCAAUUUGAUAUAUAUCUGUAGCUUGCAUGGGGGGAGGGGUGAAUCAGAGAUGGAGAUAUGAAUGUGGAAGCCAUCAUCAUGUAAAUGGUAUUUACAGUCAUAGGACAGAUUACUUAGAGGGAAAGUACUUAGAGGGAAGGGGCAUCCCAGGUGGCGCUAGUCUGCCAAUGCAGGAGAUGGAAGAGACGCCGGUUCGAUCCCUGGGUUGGGAAGAUCCUCUGGAGGAGGGCAUGGCAAUCCCACUCCAGUGUUCUUGCCUGGAGAAUCCCAUGGACAGAGGAGCAAAGUGUCAGACACAACUAAAGUGACUUAGCACACACGCAUGCAAUCAGAGGGAAGAGAAGACCCAGAAUAAAUCCUCUGAUACUUUAAUAUUUAGAGGCCAAGCAGAGGAGGAGAAGCCAACAGAGACAGCUGAAUUUGUGAGGCGUCAAUGAGAUAGAAGAAAAUCCUGGAAAGUGUAAAGCCAUGAAAGCCAAGAGGAAAAGGAACAAAUAAAUGUGAAAAAGAUAAUAUGCACAAAUAUUUUCUCAGCUCCUGCUGUGUGCAAAGAACUGUAUAGAA
ensembl:lncRNA